GUAGAUUUAAUCUCGCGACAACAAAUGCUUCCGGUGUGAAACUUAACCGCCGUAUCAAAAAUGCCGCGAACUGACAUGCGGUUGUUAAGGAUACGGUAACCUCCGUACUGAAAAACUUUCUCAAAAACGGGCAUUUACUCAAUAGUCAGACAGCCCGAAGAGAUAAUAUGGAUUUGGAAAUGAUCUCUCCCAAAUGGAUGUUGAGCAUGAUUUAUGAGGGAAACUAGUUUCGAUGACCUAAAGGUGUGCUCACCUUGCACCCUGAGAUGUGCCACAACAGAGGUUCCUUCUGCCUCACAUGAGUACAUCCCCCCAUCCUGGGGCUCCACACAGCUAAUGUACAACCGCGCAACAGUCCAGUGCUGUUCAACUAUCACCCUGCAACCGUCUGCUUGCACAGGUAUACUGUUUCGCUUCUAUAUGGCUUUGACUGGGCGGGAGUACUGACAGAUGAACUCUGCAGACUGGUUUUCUGCUACAUGUUGGUCCUCCAUGGCACUGACCACCUCCACAUUAGGAUCUAUAGAGGGUUGGUGGUUGGGAUAAGUAUAAUAAGACCCCAGUGCACUUUGAAGUAGAGUUCUUCACCUCAAGCCUGUUUUAUGUUUUGGGUGGUAUUUAAUGUAAUUUAAAACUAAAAUACAAGCCUAGUGCUUUAUUCAGUUUAAAACGGCAGCCUUUAAAACCUCACAAUCUAAGUCAGUGAUGUAGCUGUAGCUGUUUCUUUUUCUUUCACUUAAAAGUACUGAAGUGUACAUGUAAGUGUAAAAUCUUUUGCUUCUCAACUCCAAACUGACCAAGGUGAUGGUCAUUUACAACCAGCACAUGCCUAGUUGCAAACUAAGGCCAAUUUAUAAAAAAAGUAAAUGCAGCACAAACAAACAGUGAAGACUGAUGAGUGUACAAUUAUCUGAUUUAGAGUACAUGCAAGACAAUUAUUGUUUGCUCUUAGAAUUUUGGGGCAAAAGGUUGCUUGCAUAAUUUCAUUCAGAUGCUUUAGUGCAUAUACUAGGGCUUCAGUUUUACAUAUACAUUUCUACCUCAGACAGAUUAACAAACUGAAUUGUAAAAUAUAUGCUGGGAUAGUGAUAGGCUGCGUGUCCAAUAAUAUGCAAAAAAACAAACAAACAAAAAAACAAAACAAUAUAUUGACCUCCAAAGACACUUAUUUGUGAAGAAUAAGCUUAUGUUUUUGAAUUUAAAUAAUUUGAAUUAAUUAUUUGGGAGUUUUCUUUGAGAAAAGUGGCAGUAGAAAAAUCUUUGUGCCCUGGUAUACAAGCCCAAAAUCAGUUUAUUAAUUUAAUAAUUAGUAUGCCAACUUUGUAAGUAAUUAGCAAGGCGUGAUAUUGCAGCCAAAUCUACUGUUUUAGGUUAGAAAUACAUGGCACAUGGACUACAUGCAUCCAUGAAUUUUCAUUAAAAAUGUAUUUAUUUAUUUUUGUCAACCCAUCUUACUGUAUACUUUUGUCUAACAAAAAGACUAAAUUCUAGGCAUGGGUAACCCACUUAACCAAAGGAUUCUCCAGGGUAGUCUGUGCAAAAACACUUUGGAUUAAGAAUAUAAUUGAUAUGGAUAAGUAAUUCAGUAAUGUGAGUCUAUAAAUCUACAGCAUGUAUUAAAGAACACAAACAGUAGCUACUUCAAGGACAGAUUAAGACACAAUUCUAGAUCUAUGGCCUAACUAUUACUGUUGCAAAAAAAUAAAAACUCAAGGCAACCCAAAUGCUUUACAGAAUUAAUAACUGACUUUUAGAUUUAGAAAAUUCAUGGACACAACACUAGUCCAGUGCUAUUCAUAAUUUUAAGAUUUUAGAUCUCUGUGCUGCCAAGUACUGCCAAGCACCCCUGCAUUUGGUACCUUUCACUAACAGCUUGGCAGAGGACAUCAGGGCACCUGUUUUGAACAGGACUGUACCCGAAUCAUUGGGAGAAAGGUUCCUUAGAGUGAGAGUGUGGACAUGGUCUUCACCCACACUUAUUUCACUGAAGGUACUGUUCUCCAAACGAGUGCUGUCUAACCACCACUGAACUCUGCCUUUGGCACGGCGAGAGAGCUGGCAGGAGAAAGUUGCCUGUUCGCCCACAAACACAUCUGUAUUCUUUAUACCCGAUACUAUGAGAACCUCAGCCUCUGCAGAGACCAGACACAGAAUCCCUUAGAUCACCAGUGUCUAAAAAUACUCAUAUAUUGAGGAUGCUUCAAAAACAUAAUGUAAAACUUAUGAGGACAUAAUGACAUAAUUCAAAAAGCUACAAAUUUUAAAUCACCUCCAACCGGUUUGAGAAAAUUCUAUCUGUUUGCUCGACAACAGAUGUUUUUAUAACUAAAAUACAGAUUGCAAAUGAUUUAAGAGUGUUAUUUAAUACCUUGCACAGUGACUGAUGCUGUGGUUAACUGGUUUCCAGCAUCACAAGUGUAGUAGCCAUUGUCCUCUGGUUCCAGAUUAUGGACAAGGAGCUCCAGCACACAUCCUUCCUGUUUCAUCUCAAAUUUCUUACUGGGUUGGAGAACCACUCCACCCUUUCUCCAUUCUAUACUUUUAACUGGCUUAGAGAGUUCACAGAGCAAGGUAAUACUAUCUCCCUCUAUUGCAUUCUGGUUCUCUAACUCCUUCCGGAAGUAUGCAGGUUGACCUGAUGAAGGUUAAGAGAAGAAGUUAAAAGAAUGUAAAUGUGAGAUUUUAAACGUCUGCUGAUACCUGUGAGGGUAUCAAAAUCUUCUUUGUUCCACAAGAGAGGCAGUUACAAAGAAAAGAAAAUCAAAAUGGGUCUUCCUGAAACCCAUAUGCGUUCACUUUUCUUCAGGCAUGUUGAUAAAAUUAAAACAAAAAAGUCACAGGCCUACUAACCCAUUUACCUUUAACAGUAAGGGUGGCGCAGCUUUCUGCAUCUUUGGUUUUGCAUGUAUACAGCCCUGCAUCUCCUUCCUCCACCCUAAGGAUGCGGAGCUGAUGGACGGCUCUAUCCUUGUAGAGCAGAUAGCGUCCACCUGCCUUUAUCAUCGCUUCAUCUUUGUACCAGGCAACAGAGGCCUCAGGGUCAGAAGUCAUGCAGGACAGUGUGACUGUUUGACCCUCUUUGGCAGUUAAGUCCAGAGGCUUCUCUAAGAAUACGACUAUGGACAGGAGAAACCCAAACCCAAGUGCUGUCACAUCAUGAUGUCUGCCUGAAGACUGAAACUUAGACACUUGAAGCCACAUAUACUGUGGUACAUUAAAGAGCUUUACUGAUUGAGAAACUCAUGUUUUAACAAUUAAGGGCAGGUAUUAGAGAAAAGAUUAUGUCUGAACCAAAAAUUUAUGAAAACUUUAUGAAAUCUCUUCCCCCAAAUUUUGGAGUGUAGCUAUAGAAUGGCCAAAGCAAAUGGAAAAGCACCUAGAAGCCUUUUGUUAUGAUUGCACAAAAUGAGUGCAGCUACUACCUAAUGACAGACAGAAGAUUGCUUGCCAACAAUGAGCGUUGUUAGCCAUAAUGUGUCUUUUACCUUUGGGUUUCUCCUGCACCAACAAGUAGGCGAUGCUCUUCUCAGGGCCAACCACAAAGGCUACAUCACCUGAAUCAUCGGGUGUGACCAUUUUCAGCACUAGGCUGUGUUCCCUCCCUCGGCAGCUGAUUUGAUUCAAGUCAUUGUUUUGAAGGUGGUUGGAGCCGAGCCACCACUCGACAUUCGUAACCCCUGUAUGGGAAACCUCACACUGGAAGAUAGCAUCCUCUCCCGCUAUCACAGUCACAUCCUUUAAUUCUCUUGUGAUUUUUACACAUUCUGGGAAUGGAUGGAAGGAACGUGAUGAAAAGGGACUAUUGAGGAUCUUCCGAAAAGUCAAAAGAGGGGAACAGUGUAAAAUGGAGUCCAUCUUUAUAGAAGAAUCAAGAAUUACCUUUGACGGUCAAUGUAGCUUUGGUAGGACCUGAGUGCCCUUCUUCCAGGUCACAUUGGCAUCAGGGAUUGAAGUUUCACAACAUAAUGAAGCACUGCCUCCCUCUGUGACUUCCUGGCUUGUUAACUCCUUCACAAAUGAUAGCACAGGGAUUGCUGGUGGGAAACAGUGAUACACAGAACACAUUCUGAGAUAUGUGCAACACCCCAAACCUGCAUGUAAGAAGAUCAUGAGAUGGUAAUAAAUUUUCUUCGUAGUUUCUAAAUGCAGCCAGGGACAAGAUAA